rnacentral:rRNA from 1 species
GACGAACGCUGGCGGCGUGCUUAACACAUGCAAGUCGAACGAGAAUUGAUGAGAAGCUUGCUUCUUAUCAAUUCGAGUGGCAAACGGGUGAGUAACGCGUAUCCAACCUGCCCACCACUUGGGGAUAACCUUGCGAAAGUAAGACUAAUACCCAAUGACGUCUCUAGAAGACAUCUGAAAGGGAUUAAAGAUUUAUCGGUGAUGGAUGGGGAUGCGUCUGAUUAGCUUGUUGGCGGGGUAACGGCCCACCAAGGCAACGAUCAGUAGGGGUUCUGAGAGGAAGGUCCCCCACAUUGGAACUGAGACACGGUCCAAACUCCUACGGGAGGCAGCAGUGAGGAAUAUUGGUCAAUGGACGAGAGUCUGAACCAGCCAAGUAGCGUGCAGGAAGACGGCCCCUAUGGGUUGUAAACUGCUUUUAUAGGGGAAUAAAGUGGGUCACGUGUGACUUUUUGCAUGUACCUUAUGAAUAAGGACCGGCUAAUUCCGUG